rnacentral:rRNA from 1 species
UACGGGGGGGCAAGCGUUGUUCGGAAUUACUGGGCGUAAAGGGCUCGUAGGCGGCCAACUAAGUCGGACGUGAAAUCCCCAGGCUCAACCUGGGAACUGCGUCCGAUACUGGAUGGCUUGAAUCCGGGAGAGGGAUGCAGAAUUCCAGGUGUAGCGGUGAAAUGCGUAGAUAUCUGGAGGAAUACCGGUGGCGAAGGCGGCAUCCUGGACCGGCAUUGACGCUGAGGCGCGAAAGCCAGGGGAGCAAACGGG